rnacentral:rRNA from 1 species
AUUGAACGCUGGCGGCAUGUCUUACACAUGCAAGUCGAGCGGCAGCAUAGGAGCUUGCUCCUGAUGGCGAGUGGCGAACGGGUGAGUAAUAUAUCGGAACGUGCCCUAGAGUGGGGGAUAACUAGUCGAAAGACUAGCUAAUACCGCAUACGAUCUACGGAUGCAAGUGGGGGAUCGCAAGACCUCAUGCUCCUGGAGCGGCCGAUAUCUGAUUAGCUAGUUGGUGGGGUAAAAGCUCACCAAGGCGACGAUCAGUAGCUGGUCUGAGAGGACGACCAGCCACACUGGGACUGAGACACGGCCCAGACUCCUACGGGAGGCAGCAGUGGGGAAUUUUGGACAAUGGGGGCAACCCUGAUCCAGCAAUGCCGCGUGAGUGAAGAAGGCCUUCGGGUUGUAAAGCUCUUUUGUCAGGGAAGAAACGGUUCUGGAUAAUACCUGGAGCUAAUGACGGUACCUGAAGAAUAAGCACCGGCUAACUACGUGCCAGCCGCCGCAGUAA